rnacentral:rRNA from 1 species
CCUACGGGAUGCAGCAGUGAGGCAUAUUGGUCAAUGGGCGGGAGCCUGAACCAGCCAAGUCGCGUGCAGGAUGACUGCCCUACGAGUUGUAAACUUCUUUUAUAAAGGAAUAAAGCUAGACACGUGUUCCUUUUUGUAUGUACUUUAUGAAUAAGGAUCGGCUAACUCCGUGCCAGCAGCCGCGGUACGACGGAGGAUCCGAGCGUUAUCCGGCUUUAUUGGGUUUAAAGGGAGCGUAGAUGGGUUGUUAAGUCAGUUGUGAAAGUUCGGGGCUUAACCGUAAAAUUGCAUUUGAUACUGGGAGUCGUGAGUACAGUUGAGGUAGGCGGAAUUCGUGGUGUAGCGGUGAAAUGCUUAGAGAUCACACAGAACACCGAGUGCGAAGGCAUCUCACGAAUCCGCGAUUGACGCUGAUGCACGAAAGCGUGGGGAUCAAACAGGAUUAGAUACCCCAGUAGUC